AUUGAACGCUGGCGGCAGGCCUAACACAUGCAAGUCGAGCGGAUGAAGGGAGCUUGCUCCUGGAUUCAGCGGCGGACGGGUGAGUAAUGCCUAGGAAUCUGCCUGGUAGAGGGGGAUAACGUCCGGAAACGGGCGCUAAUACCGCAUACGUCCUGAGGGAGAAAGUGGGGGAUCUUCGGACCUCACGCUAUCAGAUGAGCCUAGGUCGUAUUAGCUAGUUGGUGGGGUAAAGGCCUACCAAGGCGACGAUCCGUAACUGGUCUGAGAGGAUGAUCAGUCACACUGGAACUGAGACACGGUCCAGACUCCUACGGGAGGCAGCAGUGGGGAAUAUUGGACAAUGGGCGAAAGCCUGAUCCAGCCAUGCCGCGUGUGUGAAGAAGGUCUUCGGAUUGUAAAGCACUUUAAGUUGGGAGGAAGGGCAGUAAGUUAAUACCUUGCUGUUUUGACGUUACCAACAGAAUAAGCACCGGCUAACUUCGUG
rnacentral:rRNA from 1 species